GGGUAUAUAGCUCAGCAGCACAGUGCCUGCCUGGCAAGCAUGAGGCCCUGAGUUCCAUUCCCAGUACCA
rnacentral:tRNA from 1 species